rnacentral:rRNA from 1 species
AUGGCCGCGGCGCUCGCCUCCUCCCGCUGCUGCCGCCGCCCUUCGCUUCUUACCACUGAUCGCCGCCGAAGCUCCGUCGCCCGGUGUGCGCUCUCCGGCGGGAAAGGAAACUCAUUUAGCUGGAAAGAAUGUGCAAUUUCUGUAGCAUUAUCUGUUGGAUUAAUUACUGUCCCACCAACAUUUGGAUGGUCGGCCCAUGCUUAUCCUAUCGAACCUGUAAUUCCUGAUGUUUCAGUUCUUAUUUCUGGACCUCCCAUUAAAGAUCCAGGUGCUUUGUUGAGAUAUGCUUUGCCCAUAGAUAAUAAAGCUAUUCGUGAAGUUCAAAAACCGCUAGAGGAUAUUACCGAUAGUCUCAAAGUUUCUGGUGUUAGAGCGUUGGAUUCAGUUGAAAGAAAUGUGAGGCAGGCCUCAAGAGCGCUGACUAAUGGGAGGAGUUUAAUACUUUCGGGUCUUGCUGAAUCAAAAAGAGCAAACGGAGAAAAAACAUUGGAUAAAUUAGCUGUUGGACUUGAAGAGCUUCAACGAAUUAUUGAGGAUAGAAACAGGAAUGUGGUAGCUCCAAAGCAGAAAGAGCUUCUCAAUUAUGUUGGAACUGUAGAAGAAGAUAUGGUCGAUGGCUUCCCCUAUGAAGUACCAGAAGAAUACAACAACAUGCCUCUUCUUAAAGGAAGAGCUACUGUGGAUAUGACGGUUAAGAUUAAAGAUAAUCCAAACGUAGAAGAUUGUGUAUUUCGGAUAGUUCUGGAUGGAUAUAAUGCUCCUGUGACUUCUGGGAACUUCGUAGAUCUGGUGGAACGGAAGUUCUAUGAUGGCAUGGAAAUCCAAAGAGCUGAUGGUUUUGUUGUUCAGACGGGAGAUCCCGAGGGACCAGCCGAGGGUUUUAUUGAUCCCAGUACUGGCAAGAGUCGUACCAUACCUCUUGAGAUAAUGGUUGAUGGUGAGAAGGCGCCUAUAUAUGGCGAAACACUUGAGGAACUUGGUCUUUACAAGGCUCAAACAAAGCUUCCUUUUAAUGCAUUUGGAACGAUGGCAAUGGCUAGAGAAGAAUUUGAUGACAACUCCGCUUCAAGUCAAGUCUUCUGGCUCUUGAAAGAAAGUGAGCUGACGCCAAGCAAUUCCAAUAUAUUGGAUGGGCGGUAUUCGGUGUUUGGAUAUGUAACCGAGAAUGAGGAUUUCUUGGCUGAUCUCAAGGUUGGGGACGUUAUUGAAUCGAUCCAGGUUGUCUCAGGCCUAGACAAUCUUAUCAACCCGAGCUACAAGAUUGUAGGGUAG